rnacentral:rRNA from 1 species
UACGUAGGGUGCAAGCGUUAAUCGGAAUUACUGGGCGUAAAGCGUGCGCAGGCGGUUAUAUAAGACAGUUGUGAAAUCCCCGGGCUCAACCUGGGAACUGCAUCUGUGACUGUAUAGCUAGAGUACGGUAGAGGGGGAUGGAAUUCCGCGUGUAGCGGUGAAAUGCGUAGAUAUCUGGAGGAACACCGGUGGCGAAGGCGGCACUCUGGGCCGGUACUGACGCUGAGGAGCGAAAGCGUGGGGAGCAAACAGG